AAAAUCCGUAAACCUAUCUAAAUUCCCUAUACUAACCACCUAAUAUAUCCUAAACUAACCAAAUUAGAGAGGAAUUAGAGAGGCUUACCAUUGCUACGAAAUGGAGAGGAAGUGGAGAGAAAGUAGAGAGGAAAGAAAGAGUGAGCGCUCGGGGGUAUAUAUAAGAUUACAUAUCGUCGCAAAUUCCUCGUAAGGUUACGACGAAAUAGCGAGCAGAUACAAAGGCCCGUGUUUUUUUGUACGAGGAAAUUGCAAGGAAUUACAAAGGCCCGUGUAUUUAUAUACGAGGUAUUAACGACGAUUUUGCUUACGUGGAAUUAACGAGCCUUGCUUUCCUAUAAAUAUACCCACAACUCUCAUUCUCAAACCACAUACAAACUCCCAAAUCACACCCUAUCUCAA
rnacentral:lncRNA from 1 species